GUGCAGGUUAGCCUAGUGGACAUGGCAUCUGCCCAGUAAGCGGAACACUGUGGGUUCGAUUCCCACCCCUGGACU